GGACUACCGGGGUAUCUAAUCCUGUUUGCUCCCCGAGCUUUCGAACCUCAGUGUCAGGAAUGCCCCAGAAAGUCGCUUUCGCCACUGGUGUUCCUCCGAAUAUCUACGCAUUUCACCGCUACACUCGGAAUUCCACUUUCCUCUGACAUCCUCUAGUCUCGCAGUUUUCGAUCCAUUCCCGGAGUUAAGCCCCGGUCUUUAAGACCAAACUUACAAAACCACCUACGUUCUCUUUACGCCCAAUAAUUCCGGACAACGCUUGCAUCCUACGUAUUACCGCGGCUGCUGGCAC
rnacentral:rRNA from 1 species